rnacentral:tRNA from 1 species
GGUCCCAUCGUCUAACGGUUAGGACACCAGGUUUUCAUCCUGGAAAUCGGGGUUCGAUUCCCCGUGGGAUCACAA